rnacentral:rRNA from 1 species
UGGUGUAGCGGUGAAAUGCUUAGAUAUCACGAAGAACUCCGAUUGCGAAGGCAGCUCACUGGAGUGUAACUGACGCUGAUGCUCGAAAGUGUGGGUAUCAAACAGGAUUAGAUACCCUGGUAGUCCACACAGUAAACGAUGAAUACUCGCUGUUUGCGAUAUACAGUAAGCGGCCAAGCGAAAGCGUUAAGUAUUCCACCUGGGGAGUACGCCGGCAACGGUGAAACUCAAAGGAAUUGACGGGGGCCCGCACAAGCGGAGGAACAUGUGGUUUAAUUCGAUGAUACGCGAGGAACCUUACCCGGGCUUAAAUUGCAAAUGAAUUAUGGGGAAACCCAUACGCCGCAAGGCAUUUGUGAAGGUGCUGCAUGGUUGUCGUCAGCUCGUGCCGUGAGGUGUCGGCUUAAGUGCCAUAACGAGCGCAACCCUUAUCGUUAGUUACCAUCAGGUUAUGCUGGGGACUCUGUCGAGACUGCCGUCGUAAGAUGUGAGGAAGGUGGGGAUGACGUCAAAUCAGCACGGCCCUUACGUCCGGGGCUACACACGUGUUACAAUGGGGGGUACAGAAGGCCGCUACCUGGUGACAGGAUGCCAAUCCCAAAAACCUCUCUCAGUUCGGAUCGAAGUCUGCAACCCGACUUCGUGAAGCUGGAUUCGCUAGUAAUCGCGCAUCAGCCAUGGCGCGGUGAAUACGUUCCCGGGCCUUGUACACACCGCCCGUCAAGCCAUGAAAGCCGGGGGUACCUGAAGUACGUAACCGCAAGGAGCGUCCUAGGGUAAAACUGGUAAUUGGGGCUAAGUCGUAACAAGGUAGCCGUACCGGAAGGUGCGGCUG